CUUGAACUUACCUCUUUCAUGUUGUGAAUCAGUUUGCCAACAUCCGUACCGUCUUUUCGUUUGUGACCUUUAUGGAGAUUGACCAUCUUGUCUUUGGAACUUUUUCCUCCCCGUAACAGCGAUGGAUUAACGAACUUACCCAUGACUAGCUAAGACGUGAAACAUGUUACAUCGUAAGGUCACAUCCUACAGGAUCAAGAUUCGUCUUUAAUGAUGUGACGUCACAAUAUUUACUCCGUCAUAAUACCUUCUCAGAUGUAUGUUUGCUUCCAACGAGAAAUCCGCUGUGUACCGUAUAUUCCAUCGCCGGAAUUUUGCAUUCGUAGAUCAACAAGCUCAGUAUUUUACCACAUAGCCCAGCAGAUUGUAUAUCAACAUGAUCGUUUUAACCAUCUUUGUGAUGGUUAUAUUCGAGACCUAUAAAUGGUGGAGGAAGAAUGAUGAGGCAGAUAUUGACAAUGAGAUAUCUCGAGAAAUUGAUGUGAUGCUGGAAAACAUUCAAAAGUCUUUGUAGAAAAAUGAAGAAAAAAAUA